rnacentral:piRNA from 1 species
GAGGGCGUGAUCAUGAAAGGUGAUAAGCUCUU